GAUGAACGCUGGCGGCGUGCCUAACACAUGCAAGUCGAACGGACUAUUUUUUGGAAAGCUCUUCGGAACUGGAAUCUAAAUGUUAGUGGCGGACGGGUGAGUAACGCGUGAGCAAUCUGCCUUUCAGGAGGGGGAUAACAGCCGGAAACGGCUGCUAAUACCGCAUAAUGCAUUGGAUUCGCAUGUUCCUGAUGACCAAAAGUAUUUUUAUCGCUAGAAAGAUGAGCCUCGCGUCUGAUUAGCUAGUUGGCGGGGUAACGGCCCACCAAGGCGACGAUCAGUAGCCGGACUGAG
rnacentral:rRNA from 1 species